rnacentral:misc_RNA from 1 species
UCAUCGGCCCCGACCAGGAUCAGUAGGCGCGACGUAUCAUCCUCCGCCUCGCGCGACUUCUUCAUCAGCAGCUCGACCUCGGCCUCGAAGGCGUCGUCGAGGAUGGACGUGAUCUCGUCCUCGGAGAGGGGAGCUCCGAGCCGUUCGCCGAUGCGUCGCAGCACGUCUGCGUCCGGC